GUGUGUUUUAGCCUCUUGUCCACUUAACCUAAUUCUGUCUGAGCUUUUUCCACAUUACAUCAGUCAAAGUUCUUUGAGACUGUGUACGCAGCCUGACUGUUUUUUUCGUGCACUUUCUGAAAGAAAUCAAGUCCUCAACUGUCUUUUUGUACAUAUUGUUUAGUUUUGUGAGGGGGGGGGGUGGAAACAGGGAUUGCCUAGAUGCCUCUACUGUUUUUGGAAUCCGAGUCUUAAUGAAAUUUCGUUUGUUUCAUUGUAAAUGCAGAGGUUUAGAAAACGGCUCUUUGUCUGUGUAAAUAUGCAUCGGGAGCACACAGGUAAAUGGGCGAGGACUGAGGACAAUCACUAAUUAUCAAUCACUAAAAUCGAUUCUACAACAUUCCAGAUGCCUUGCAUUCAAAACAUGUCUUAAAGAAGCACAACAGGUUAACAUCAUCCAAUUUGAAGGAAGAGAGUAUAUUUUAAAAAAAGCCCAAUCCCCACAGUUUAAACAAAGACACGCGUGUUGUCUUUCGAGGACUGACGACUCGGGGGACCCGGUGUUUGAGAAGUCAAUCCAACUUCUGGUUUUAAUAACUGCAUCUUUUUUAACAGCGAUAUACUAUACUCGUUCAGCUAAAAUAACUCAUUGUAACGUUGAAUAAGAACUGUAACCCACACGUAAUUGAGGCUAGUCGGCUAAUCUAGCAUAGGACGAACCAGGUUGUCUUUUUUUUUAUUGGGUAUACUAGUGAAAGACAAUGUUUUUAUGUUCACACACAGUGGCUUCAGAUGUUAGUGGUAAUUAGAGCUUCAUGCUGCAAGAGGCUUCUUAAGUACUGCCAACACUGUGAUUAAUAAAGCAGCAGUUUUACGAUAUGACAUUCCAAUAAAUGCAGAAAUGGACAGGGGGAAAGUGGAGUGCUGUGAUGAACUGUUGGGACGUGGGUUUGACUUGAUACAGAAAUGAGAUCAUGAAAUAUUCAAUAUACAAUGUAUCAAUUAAAAGCUGACCUUUGACCCAGGGUGAGGAUGAAAUGAGACCACAUUAAAGUCGUGAGCAGGCGGUAAUCUCUGCUCAGUAACGAAGCAAAAUUCUCAAUUAUUUAUUUAUGUAUCAUUGGCGUUUGGACUGCAGAUAGUCCGACGCAGCAUUUUUAUGACUAACAACUCUCCCUUCCCCUUUUUAAUCCGUCUUAAAGGUUUUCCCAUUUUGUUGUGAAUUUGUAAAUCUUACCUUCACAUGGCUGAGGAGGUACAGAAGAGACUGUUCAACAAUAGAUUAAGUGACCUCUUACCGUCCUGUGGAAAGGAAUUGAAUGUCUUCACUUAUGUGCGCUGCAAUAAACGAAUUUGUGAUCUGAUUAAAAA
ensembl:lncRNA